rnacentral:rRNA from 1 species
UAGCAUCCUUCGGGGUGUGUGGGGUGAGGCUGAACGCCUGACCUGAACUGGUAGUAGGUAAGCGAUGGGGUGACGCAGGAAGGUAGCCCAGCCCAGGCGAUGGUAGUCCUGGGGUAAGCAUGUAGGGAGGACCGUAGGCAAAUCCGCGGUCCAUUAAUCCUGAGAUGUGAUGCCGAGCCGAUUGUGGCGAAGUGGGUGAUCCUAUGCUGCCGAGAAAAGCCUCUAGUGAGUGUCGUGGCGGCCCGUACCCCAAACCGACUCAGGUGGUCAGGUAGAGAAUACCAAGGCGAUCGGGUGAACUGUGGUUAAGGAACUCGGCAAAUUGCCCCCGUAACUUCGGGAGAAGGGGGGCCUCCGCUGGUGAUCAGACUUGCUUUGUGAGCUGGUGGGGGUCGCAGGGGCCAGGGGGAAGCGACUGUUUACUAAAAACACAGGUCCGUGCGAAGUCGUAAGACGAUGUAUACGGACUGACGCCUGCCCGGUGCUGGAACGUUAAGGGGACCGGUUAGCGCACUUCGGUGUGCGAGGCUGGGAACUUAAGCGCCAGUAAACGGCGGUGGUAACUAUAACCAUCCUAAGGUAGCGAAAUUCCUUGUCGGGUAAGUUCCGACCUGCACGAAUGGCGUAACGACUUCCCCGCUGUCUCAACCGCAGACCCGGCGAAAUUGCACUACGAGUAAAGAUGCUCGUUACGCGCAGCAGGACGGAAAGACCCCGGGACCUUCACUACAGCUUGACAUUGGCGUUUGGAACGUCUUGUGUAGGAUAGGUGGGAGACUGUGAAGCUGUCACGCUAGUGGCGGUGGAGUCAUUGGUGAAAUACCACUCUGGUCGUUUUGAACGUCUAACUUCGGUCCGUGAUCCGGAUCAGGGACAGUGUCUGGUGGGUAGUUUAACUGGGGCGGUUGCCUCCUAAAGAGUAACGGAGGCGCCCAAAGGUUCCCUCAGCCUGGUUGGUAAUCAGGUGUCGAGUGUAAGUGCACAAGGGAGCUUGACUGUGAGACCGACGGGUCGAGCAGGAGCGAAAGCUGGGACUAGUGAUCCGGCGGUGGCAUGUGGAAGCGCCGUCGCUCAACGGCUAAAAGGUACCCCGGGGAUAACAGGCUGAUCUUCCCCAAGAGUCCAUAUCGACGGGAUGGUUUGGCACCUCGAUGUCGGCUCGUCGCAUCCUGGGGCUGGAGUAGGUCCCAAGGGUUAGGCUGUUCGCCCAUUAAAGCGGUACGCGAGCUGGGUUUAGAACGUCGCGAGACAGUUCGGUCCCUAUCCGCUGCGCGCGCAGGAGACUUGAAAGGAGCUGUCCCUAGUACGAGAGGACCGGGACGGACGAACCUCUGGUGUGCCAGUUGUUCCGCCAGGAGCAUGGCUGGUUGGCUACGUUCGGAAGGGAUAACCGCUGAAAGCAUCUAAGCGGGAAGCUCGCCUUGAGAUGAGGUCUCCCACCACGUGAGUGGGUAAGGCCCCCGGGAGACGACCGGGUUGAUAGGCCGGAGGUGGAAGCAUGGUAACGUGUGGAGCUGACCGGUACUAAUAGGCCGAGGACUUGACCAC